UACAGAGGUCUCAAGCGUUGUUCGGAUUCAUUGGGCGUAAAGGGUGCGUAGGCGGCGCGGUAAGUCGGGUGUGAAAUCUCGGAGCUUAACUCCGAAACUGCAUUCGAUACUGCCGUGCUUGAGGACUGGAGAGGAGACUGGAAUUUACGGUGUAGCGGUGAAAUGCGUAGAUAUCGUAAGGAAGACCAGUGGCGAAGGCGGGUCGUCUGGCCCGGUACUGACGCUGAGGUGCGAAAGCGUGGGGAGCAAACAGG
rnacentral:rRNA from 1 species